rnacentral:rRNA from 1 species
GUGGGGAAUAUUCCGCAAUGGACGAAAGUCUGACGGAGCAACGCCGCGUGAGUGAUGAAGGUUUUCGGACUGUAAAGCUCUGUUGUUUAGGACGAAAGUGCCUGUUGCGAACAGUUACAGGUAUUGACGGUACUAAACGAGGAAGCCACGGCUAACUACGUGCCAGCAGCCGCGAUAAUACGUAGGUGGCAAGCGUUGUCCGGAAUUAUUGGGCGUAAAGAGCAUGUAGGCGGAGAUUUAAGUCUGUUGUGAAAAUGCGGGGCUCAACCCCGUAUUGCGAUGGAAACUGAAUUUCUUGAGUGAAGGAGAGGAAAGGGGAAUUCCCAGUGUAGCGGUGAAAUGCGUAGAUAUUGGGAGGAACACCAGUGGCGAAGGCGCCUUUCUGGACUGUGUCUGACGCUGAGAUGCGAAAGCCAGGGUAGCGAACGGGAUUAGAAACCCUGGUAGUCC